AACGAGGGGUUGCCCUCUACACGGGCAAAAAAAUUAAAACUCUCUUCGACAUAGCUAGCCCGUCUCUCUAUCUUCGACAACUCUUCCUUGGCCUUUCUCUCGACAACUUGUAAUAUUCAACAAAACCAUUCCUCUACAAACCGCGACCCCGACCAUGACUAUCACUCUUCGACAAACCCCGACCCCGACCGCAACCAUCACUCUUCGACAAUGCUAAGAUUAGAACCAACUCUGUUUCAAGGGUUCUUCAAAUCGCUUCCCUUCCCGUCCCAUCGCUUCAGCGUUAUUCCCUUCCCAUUACUGUAGGGUUCUUCAGAUCUAUUGGCGGUGGUGAUUGUCGCUUUAUUUGGUUGCUUGUGGCUUCGAUUGGCUUCGGCGGUGGUGUUGGCUUCGAUUCGGCAGUGGUUGUAGCUUUGGAGGCGGUGGUUGGUCUCGUGAGAGGUUGAAAUUGAGUUCUGGCGACUGUAGAUCUGAAUCGAACUCUCAAAUCAAUUUUGUUCUGAGGCAGCAUAGGUACCUUUCCUUCAACAAUGACGAGGCCAGAUCCCCAUUCAUUCGUUGCUGAAUUCGAAAUCCCCAAUUUUCAACCUCAACCCCCAAACCAUGGUCUUAUUCAAGAAAGCUCAGGUAUCCCAUCACAGGUCAUGCACUAAACUUGGAGUUAUGACAGCUUCUCAGCGCAAUAUAAGGAAGUCUUGGCAACAUCAAAUACUUUGUUACUUCUGGUCUUAAUUGGUUUUGUACUUGAACUCUAGCUCUACAAGUUAUGGGACUCUUAAGGCUUUUGUUUUUCAGGCCCAAUAUGUUGAUUGGGGGAUAUAGGCAUAAUUGGGACCUGGUAAAUACUUGGACUAUAUGCAAGAUAAAUAGCUCAUGUGUGGGAUGCAACUGCAGCUGAUCCUAAAUUGCUGGUCUUUUUGAAAUCGUACAGGAAUUUCUUACACACUAAAUCUGACACAGAGAAGUUCUAUAUUGAAGUCCAGGAAAUUAUACUUGCUAGGUACAAUAAAACUUUUGAUUGGGCUUUGAAAGCAAAAAUGAUGCUGGGAAAGAAAGCAAUAGAAGCUGCUCGGGUCUUUGUUGAAGACACUGGACUUAGUGACUCUCUUACUGGCUACUGCUGAGGACUUUCUGGUUGAAAGAGAGGCAAUGUUGCAGAAAUUGUUUCCAACAAACGAGCUGAUGCCAGGUGUGGGAUGCAACCGCAGCUGAUCCUAAAUUGCUGGUCUUUUUGAAAUCGUACAGGAAUUUCUUACACAUUGAAUCUGGGAGAAGUGGAAACCUAUCUUUAAAAAGCACAUUUCUGGCCAAGUUUGUCGUGGUGGUUUUGUUCUAAAAACAAUGAUCCAGGUUUGAAGGCUGCUUAUAAACUGGACAAUCAUGUGGAAGAUGGAGCAGUGACGAAAGCUUUUGAAGUGAUAGAGAGAAAUUUGUUUAGGUAGAAGUUGUACUGAGGCUAGAAGUUGGUCUUUUUUGGGUUGGCCUUAAUUGCAAUUCGCCUUAUUUUGUGAUCCCUUAUUUUGUGGAUACAUCGGAUCCAUUUAGAAUGCUAUGGGAUUAUAACAGCUUUCUAUUAUGAUUAAAUUACCAUUCUUUUGGUCA